UUAUGGAAGAAAUGCUUGCAAGAAAGCUCACUCACUUCUUCAUCUCCUUCAAAUCUACAUAGACACACACAACACUCGAUUGCAGGCCACAUAUUUCCGCCACUUCCACUGUUGGCGCAACCACCAUCAUCACGGCAGGGCCGCCUUCUACCACCACCUCUGUCUCUGCAUAGAGAAUCAUACCGGGUUAUCGACAUCCUUCUAGUUCUUGAAGCUUCUUCGUCCAAAACUUGCUCCGCCCCGCCGCCGCCAUUAGCACCCACCACUUGCAGCAAAGUUCUUAGCAAAUUCUUUACUAAAGC
rnacentral:lncRNA from 1 species